rnacentral:rRNA from 1 species
ACGCUCGACACCUACGGGAGCAGCAGUAGGGAAUCUUCCACAAUGGGCGCAAGCCUGAUGGAGCAACACCGCGUGAGUGAAGAAGGGUUUCGGCUCGUAAAGCUCUGUUGUUGGAGAAGAACGUGCGUGAGAGUAACUGUUCACGCAGUGACGGUAUCCAACCAGAAAGUCACGGCUAACUACAUGCCAGCAGCCGCGGUAAUCUGAGCGGGCUGGCAAGGC